AUUGAACGCUGGCGGAAUGCUUUACACAUGCAAGUCGAACGGUAACAGGUUAAGCUGACGGGUGGCGAACGGGUGAGUAAUACAUCGGAACGUGCCCAGUCGUGGGGGAUAACGUAGAGAAAUUUACGCUAAUACCGCAUCCGCUCUAAGGAUGAAAGCGGGGGACCGUAAGGCCUCGCGCGAUUGGAGCGGCCGGUGUCAGAUUAGGUAGUUGGGGGGGUAAAGGCCUACCAAGCCGCCGAUCUGUAGCUGGUCUGAGAGGACGACCAGCCACACUGGGACUGAGACACGGCCCAGACUCCUACGGGAGGCAGCAGUGGGGAAUUUUGGACAAUGGGCGCAAGCCUGAUCCAGCCAUUCCGCGUGCAGGAUGAAGGCCCUCGGGUUGUAAACUGCUUUUGUACAGAACGAAAAGGUCUGGGUUAAUACCCUGGGCUCAUGACGGUACUGUAAGAAUAAGCACCGGCUAACUACGUGCCAGCAGCCGCGGUAA
rnacentral:rRNA from 1 species